AGACAGUACUGGAAGCGCCAUUUGCAGGUGCGCCACAUUUUAAGGGAUCUCAAACACCCUCAAAGGACAACAGAGGACCAUAAAAAGAUUUUAGAUUUCUAGAACGCUCCCUGUGAUGAAUCAUGGAUUAUCAAGGCCAGGUGGUGAAACAGGCCCUGAAUGUAAGACCAAAGGAAAAAAUUGUAUUCUUUCAUCUGCUUCUCUGCUUCAUUUUUUUACCUGCUCCUGGACAUCUUCAAACUCUGAGCUGAGCAACUCUAUGAAGAUAGGCACAGCUCCUGCCUGAAUCACAAUCCGCGUCUGAAGAGAAUUUCCUGAAGCAAUAUUUGUCAAUACCCAAGCUGAUUCAAACUAUAAAGAUAAAAAUAAUUUUAUUAUAUUAUGAGCAUUUAAUAGCUUGUUUUUAGCUAUAACAAUAAGGUUUUCUGUACGUGAAGAAAAGAAUCUGAAAUCAUUAUUUACACACAAUCUAUCAGAUGGAUUCUGUAUCAAUUUUAAAUGAAGAAUUCCCAGUACAAAAACCUUGAUCUAGAAUAUUCAAACUAAAAUUUGGUCUAAAAUUUCAGACCAAAGUAGAGCUGACAUAAUACUAUAAAAAAACAAUGAGGGACUGCUUCAUAUGCUGCCAUAAAUGAUCUCCCAAGAAACAAAUGAAAAAAAGGAAACAAACGAAAAAAAAGCCUAAUAGUGUACAUUAAGAUAGCAUCAUACUGUAUUUUCUAAAAGGGUUAAGAAGGAAUAUAUGCAUUAAUUUACCUAUGGUACAGAAUAUCUCUGGCACGAGUCAUAAGAAACUGCAAAUACUUGUUAACUACAUGGAAAGGUAAGGGUGAAUGGGAAAGAAAUCCUUAUGUAUCAUUUUGGCCUUAAACCAUGUAUAUUAUCUAAUAAAAAAAAGUAAAUAAUUUCUAUAAGAUGGACACAGAGAAAAGUUGAGAGGAUACUAAUGGAAAAUGUGUAAGACAUAAGGACAGUGAAAAAGGCCAAAGAUAUUUUAAAUGAUAAGUGAGCCAAAAGGAGCUAACUGGCAUUCAAUUAAUAGAAAUGGCAACAUUAGAGCAUAAGAGCUUCUGACAAAUGAGAGGGCUCCAACUAAAGUACAGAGCACAUACACAGAAAAAAAUUCAGUGGCAUGUCCCUUCAAUAAGAGAUCAAUAAAAAGUCACUGAAAGACAGAGCUGUGACUCUUCUAAAAGCUUUUGGGUCAACUGAAAGGCAGCUGUCAUAUGGAAAACUAAAUCAUCAGUCAUUGGAUUUGGGGGAAGGAAAACAGAAGACAUGGGAAGACAAUCUGGUUAUCAUGAUCCAAAGCAUGUGAAUGACAGCAAAUUCACAAGAGAAGAUGCCUAAAGAAGAGGACGUUCCAAGAAACCUAUGAAAGUGAUAAACACAAAUGAGGACAAAGGUUAGGCAGCCUAACUGGACAAUGAUAUUACAGUAGCAAGGAGGUCCACACCAGGAGCACCACAGGAAAACUAACUAGCAGAGUUAAAACUAAGAGACAGAUGAUGUGAAUACAAAAGCAAACCUUCCUACCAGACGGCAGGCUCCAAGUUGAACAAAGAAUCAUGAGAUACUGCAGAGACCAAGUCAAAGAAAUGACAACUGUGAGGAAAAGCUGUGUAUGAAGAAUG